GAGGUUUGAGUCGGUCAGGAGUCUGGGGCUUCUCCGACGAGAAAGGACCUUAAAGGUGGUGUAGUCAGGAUCUGAGGAAGUUCCAGUUUUUAGGAGAAAUCUUGAAUGUAAACUCUACCCAUCCCAACCAGUUUUCCUCUCAGCUCCUCCUCUCCCCUCCCUCUCUGCUCCAGCAGGCCCCGCCCUGAGACAGACGCUCCUGCUUGCUCGUAUCAUUCCAAUUAAAAUUGGAUAUAAUGCAUAUAAAUACUUAAGAUAAUUACAAAUUGGGCCCAGUCAGCGUUAAAGUAAAAAGCAUUGGUGCUGCUGUAGAUGCCAACAGACUACCAGCAAACACAAUGGCCCUCAUUUAUUAAGCUUGCGUACAGCAGAAAACUUGUGUACGAAAGUUUUGACAUGAGGAUCGGCAUUUAUCAAUCUGCACGUGAGUGUACGCUACGACCAAAUCUCACGACAGGUCUGACAUUGUGUACACAAGUUUGAGUCAGUGUGGAUCUAUGGUUCAGCAAAUGUCUGUCUCAAAAUAAUUGAUAAACAACCCUCAAACCACGAAGCACAAUCAGCCAGAUUUCAUUAAAUAUUAAGAUGUAAAUAAAAUAAAAUGUCCUUGGUGAAUAGGUCUAUCUGAUAACUCUGCCCAGAAACACUGCCACAGAGCAGGAGCGCCCUUUCAACAUUACGCACACAUGCACCACUGUGGAGCGCUGUGUUUGACUCCUAAAAGGCAGGUGUCUCUGUCUUGGCCCAGCAGCGGGGACGUUGUUGUACACUCCUGAAAGGGUGUGGGAGUGCCGUUGGCUGUGCCAGUGAACGUGAGGACCCAAUGCCCGGAGAACAAUAACCAGGAGAGACUCCACAAAGGUGCUGUACAGAGGAGACAGGACCUUAUCCAUGGAUUCUGACAUGUAAAGUAUAAGUUUAGAAAGUGCUCUUGCUAUUUAUUCAGUGAUAAAAAAAAAUCCAAUACAAAUCCAUAAAAAUGUGCCUCAGGGGCAGCAACACACCGUUUGGUGAGGUUAAUAAUUCUUUUUGUUCAGCCUCUGUCAGACUCUCCAGUCUGCUCUACAAGACACAACAAAUUAAAACUAAAUACUUUCAAUAAUAGGUGCAACGUACCCUAUGUCAUACCAAUAAAAAAAAUAUGAGGCAUGUAUGAGAUAUUAAUUUAUCAUCAUGAGCAACUUAUUGACCAAUGAUUUAUUCAAACUUCAGCCACUGUCCACUAUUCCGCAGCAGCGCUGUUCAGCGUGUAGCGAUUUGAAAUGAGCCUCACACGGCCGCACCAAAAUAAUACGGUUUGAAAUGAGCCUCACACGGUCGCACCAAAAUAAUACUGUAGCGAUUGGAAUUUAUAAUAAAUGUCUGAAGAUUAAUAAUCUCAAAUUAUGAUAUUUAUGCACUCGUUGAAAGGGGCACCACCCACCCUUAAUGGUGGGAAAAUAAAGAAAACAAAAGUUUAAUUCAGAAAUCAAACAUCAAGUCAGUCUUAAUUAAUCAGUCCCAUAUCUUAAGCCGAAAUUCUCAUUUCAGGGACUCCACUUCUGGAAGAACACUAACAGACAGGAACUUAGAAAAAUAAUGAUCUGUUUAUUACAGGAUAAAUGAUGGUACAGCAUACAUGCAAUAAAUGAUGAUAAGAUAAUGAAGAUAAAUAAUAAUAGGUGAAUAAAUAAAGAUGCUGAGUCAGGCUAGGAGCACUAAAGUUAAUUAUAGUGAGUGAAUAUGCGCUAACUUAUUAAUCUACACUAAUUUUGGUGUCGAGAUAAACUCGGGUGUGGAUUUGGAGGAAUCUAAGAUCACCAGAAAUAGGUGGAUAUCUGAGUUAUGAACGCAUGAGACAGCACCAGCCCUCUUUGGAGCUCUGGAGGUUUGCAUACUUAAGUGAGUCUGGUCCUUAGAGAAGGUGGAGCAGGUUCCGAAGGUCCGGGCUACCAGCGAUUCGAGCGGUUCAGCUCAGAAGACGACUGAAGUCAGCCGAAGGAUGGGCCUGGAGUUGUAGCACUCGGGCCCGAAGCAAAGCCAGCGCCUGUGGAUCCUGUGGAUGCUCGUUUGGGUACUUCUUUGGUCUCACUCAAAAACUCUGGCACAGAGGAUGACCUGGGCCUGCUGGGUUGCGUUCAGAGGUGACUUUGAAAUCAUGCAGAUAACUCAGAAAAACGAGACUCGAGCAGAGAAAACUUUCAAAAAUGGCUUCGCGAAAUUAAAGAAAAAUCAAUCAAAGGCUUAAUCUUGAAUUGCUAUGCGCACAAAAAGUUGAAGUUUCAAAACUUGAACUAAGACGAUGUUAAAGAAAAAUCAACGUGAAUCAACACGUGGCGUAAAACUUAGUAGACUAAGAAAAAGUUCUAAGAGAGAACAAAGAAAGAGAGGCCCACAGAAGGGUGUGGACAGAAGAGAAGGGCCCAAGAGUAAGGGGCAUAAGAAAGUGCACAAGAGGCGAUAAGAGAGUGAGCAACCCCACUUCACUGGUUUUAUCUUCUCACACUGGGAGUGUCUCUGGCGUGUGUGUGUGAGGAGAAAGAGGAGGAGGGUCGUGUGGUCUCCAAGCAGAGGAGACAUCGGAUCUCUGAUUAUCUGAUCUAACUUAUACUUUUGGCUGGUAAAAGAGUCAGAUCUGAUACUCACUCACUAUGAUUAAUAUCAUUGAAUGCUAGGUUUCAUGAUAAAUAAUUUGAUACUAAACACAUAUGAAUGAAGUGUAGGAUCACAUCAAACAUUCUCAAUAUGUUUUAAGUAUCACAUUGAACAUGCUAAAUUACUCUGAAAUGAAACAGAUAGUAACACAUGGAAACUGUGAACAACAAAAUAGUAAACAUAUGUGAAACUUCAUCAUGAUCAAUAAUGGAUUCUAAAUACUCACAUUCAGAUUAUUCAAUGACAUUAUAAACACCUAAUGGUUAAAAAUACUAAAUAAAUAACUAAAAUAUAAACCAAACAUUUCUAAACCAUUUCUUUUACUUAGAGUAAAGUUAUGAUUCAUAGUCAAUAAAGUUAACUCUAAAAAGUUCAUGAAACAAUCUGGAAAGCUGUUGGUCUAAAGAAACUAAAGAAUAAAGGAUUUAUUCUGUCAGAGUGAUAACUCUGCUUCUGGAGCACAUAGAAAAACGGGAAACAUCUCAUUUUAACACAAAUUUCAUGAUUAGACAGAUUAGUACAUUGCUGAAUGCACAAGAUGUCAGGAUCAGUCAUUUGUAUUCUUUCACCAAAGGAAUGCAGUCUUUAUCAGUGUAUGGUCGAGCAGGGUUUUACGACCGAGGUCUGGAGGUCAGUGUCCCCCCUUAUCCUGGGGUCCGUAUGUUCACACACUUUAAGAAGGUAAAUCUCAAAUGGGAGAUCUGGGUUGAGACGUUAAUGUUUAUUUAGAUGGUCAGCAAAUGGAGUCAGUUUGAAAGGUAAUAAAAACUCUGUCUCUGUUCUCCGAAUUGACCAAUCGUGAAGAGUCAGAGGUUUAGUCAACCUCCGGUUGGAUCACUUAGGUAACCUGAAAGUGCAAACAAGUCUGGAAAGAUUUAUAUCCUGUGUCCUGGGACCAGAUAAGGAAACUUUCCUGUGAGGAAUGUAUGAGUUUCACACCCAGGGUUGUCUUGAUUGCUACAAGCGCCACCAUAAUCCUGCUCCAGACAGGAGUUUUCUGGACUGCUUUUAUACCAGUUUUGAUGCUUCCAAAGAGAAAAUCCUUGUUAGUUUCCACCACAGAUGUGAGGAUAUCAACUUUGAGCUUGAAAAAGUUUCGAAUCUUUCUAAUAUUUCUCCUCUUUUAUGUUUGACCUCAGUAGGCGAGGCUUCUGAACCACAAAUAUUUAAGGGCGUAAACAUGUUAAUGACGAUCGAUUUCAGCCGCCGCAUUUAUCAAGACCCGAUCAUACAUAUGCAGAGAUUGGUCAGAUACGAACCCUUUCAUAAAUCUCACGUGUGUCUUAUCAUACGAUGAAUCCUGCACUCAGAUCUGCGCUCAGAUCUGCGCAAGAUUGAUAAAUGAGGGCCACUGUUUGCAGGACUUCUACAACUAGGAUAAAGUGACAUAGUCCAGGACCCGAGGUCAACAGUUCAGCGGUGCUACAACACGCUACAGCAGAUCCCGUUUGACAAGAAACACUUCUGUUACAGACACUUGGCUUACUUUGUUAAAGCAGUUUACCUGCCCAUCAAAAAGGUUACAGGGUCACGAAGAUACUGAAGCAUCCCCAAUUGUUUAUGUUGACACGGCUUUUUAGCUCUUGUCUUGUCUACCUCCGUUUUAAGCGCCCGUUAUUCCACCAGGGUCUCUGGUAUCACUUUGUUUUCUUGCUUGUGUUGGCAGCUGUGGCCAAAGGAGGAUUCAGACAAUUUUCUGAACUUUUUGGUUAGUUUCUACUGUCCGAUAUUGUAGCACGCUAACUUUGUUUGGGCUCGUGAAAGACACGGGGGAGCAGCGUCUGCCUCACAACCAAUCAGGUCAGGGUAGGUGGAGAAUGAAUUUGUUUACAGUGAGAAAGAGCGUACAGCUCUAAAAUGUUAAAAUGUUGACUACACAGACAUAAGAGAUAUUGUGAUAUUCACAAAUGUCAUCAAUAACUAAUAACUAUUGACUGAUAUUAAAGGAUUUUUUGUAAAUACACCACAAAAAAAGAUGUUUCUUUAAAAGAUUCCUGUCUACACCACCUUUAAAUGAUGACAUCAUUCAUCACCUUUAAUUCAUUAUUUUAAAUUAUUAUUACAACAAUGAAGUGACUGAAAGGAAAGAAUUUAAAUUAUAUAAAAAUGAACAUGUUUCCUGAGCUUGUGUGUGUUUACGGGCAAUAAGACUGAGGAGAACUGAAGGCUUUUAUUUUGAAAUUUGACUGAUUUUAAAGUUCCUGUGAAGAGAGAGCAGGAAGAGAUAUUUAAUCAAGGCCCAGGCUGUGUCUCAUUUCAGAGACCGCAUCGGGAUAAGCGCGUGUAAGCGCACUGCCAUUUUGUGCCGUUAUGCGACGUUGUGUACCCUUCCUGUGUCCCAUUUCAGGUACCGCAACCGUCGAAUGGCGCAUUUGAAGCGUGGUCACCACGCGGCACGAACGGUGUCCCGUUUGGCACAAAAUGCUAAGCGCGCUUCAAAUUCGGUCUCAAAACCACACUGCCCCCGCCUCUUUUUCAAGAGGCAGGGGGCCGUUGGUAUCCCAGAAUUCUUUGUGUGCCGCUGCACAGCUGCGCAUUUCAGGUGAGAGGCUGGACUCAUUUGGAGACAGCGCGUCUUUAAAGAAAAUGCAAGAAAUCCAAAAACAGCAGACAGACAGACAGCUCAGGCUGUAUGAGCGCAUGAUCUCUGAACUCACUAAAAUCUGCAAACCAAACAUUAUAGAUUUAGAGACAACUGAUCCGCUCUGCUGCAACUAUCAAAAACAUUAGAAAUAAGAAAGCUGACAAAACUACAACAAAGGAUCAGGACAUCAUUGAGUUUUUUUUCUUUUAAGAUUUAGAGAUUAAAGUUGUAAAUUUAGGAGAAUAAAGUCAUAAAGUAUAUAAAGUCAUAAAGCUGCUUUUGUGGAGGGGGAAAUGACUGAAGCUGGUCAUCUGCAGGGUUAUCGGUGGAUGUAUCAGCGUGUCAUUCAGAGAGAUUUUGUGGUUUCUGAAGAAACAAUCAAACUGAUGAUGAUCAACAUUUGUGAUCAAGAGGGAGUCGAGCUCCGAUGAGCACCACGUCUCUGACACCGGCGGUAACCUACACCUGCAGAGACACCAACACGUUAUUAUGGUAUAUGGAUUCAUAUCAUAAACUAAAGCUCAAUGUCAUUCACGGAAAUUUACGGCUGCAUAAAAGGAUAUAUCCUUAGCAUAUUCAUUUCUGCCUCCACAAAAGCAGCGAUUUCCUCCAAGUCCAUCUGUUUUUUUUCCCCGUGGAAAAGACGUAUUUCUCAUAUAUUCUUUAUACUUAUGACAAUGUGAUGCUGAUGUGCCAGAGGAUGAAGCAUCUCCUUGUUUGUGAAACCUAUACUGAAGCACAGUUCCUUCAAAUGCUUCAUGGCCCUAAUUUAAACUCCUAAAAUCUCCUCUGAAAUAACAGGGAACCUUAUAACUUUAUUCUCAUAAAUUAAUUACUUUAUUCUCGUAAAUUCACGACUUAAAUCUCGAAUUUUACAUUUAAACCUUCAAUUUUUUAAGCAACUUUUGCAUUGCUUUUUCAGCUUUCAGCACACAGCAUUUCCACGCAUUUUCUGCAAGGAAAUGCAAUUUUUCUACUUGAAGAUUAUCACUCUUCACACAUUUAUUAUAAAUUUAAAUCGCUACACAAAAUAUAAAUUUAGUCACUUAAAAUAUUGAACUAAAACCAAAAAGUUAAAGAAGACUCAGCUUCUGAUCAGGAACAACAAAAGGACGACAAUAAAUGACAGACAGACAGACAGGGGAACAGUAAAAGACAGACAAACAGGGAGAACAGUAACAGAACAGAAACAGACAGACAGGGGGAACAGUAUUAGAACAGUAACAGACAGACAGAGGGAACAGUAACAGAACAGUAACAGACAGACGGGGAACAGUAACAGAACAGUAACAGACAGACAGAGGGAACAGUAACAGAACAGUAACAGACAGACAGGGGGAACAGUAACAAAACAGUAACAGACAGACAGGGGAAACAGUAAUAGACAGACAGAGGGAACAGUAAUAGAACAGUAACAGACAGACAGGGGGAACAGUAACAAAACAGUAACAGACAAACAUGGGGAACAGUAACAAAACAGUAAAAGACAGACAGGGGGAACAGUAACAGAACAGUAACGGACAGACAGGGGGAACAGUAACAGAACAGUAACAGACAAAAUGACAGACAGAAAGACAAAGGGAACUGUCAGAGACAGACAGAGGGAAGAGAAACUGACAGACAGACAGAGAGAGGGAACAGUUAUUGGCAGACAGACAGACAGACAGACAGACAGAGGGAACAGUAAAAGACAGACAGGCAGAGGGAAUAGUAACAGACAGACAGUAAGAAAGACAGACAGAGGGAACAGUAACAGACAGACAGUAAGACAGAAAGACAGACAGACAGACAGACAGAGAGAACAGUAACAGAAAGACAGAUAGCCAAAGGGAACAGUAACAAACAGACAGACGGAGUGAAAAGUAACAGGCAGAUAGACAGAAAAAAGACAGAAUGACAGAGAGAACAGAGACAGACAGACAGAGAGAACACAGACAGACAGAGAAAACAGUAACAGACAGACAGACAGAUAGACAGAGGGAACAAUAAUAGACAGACAGAGGGAACAUUAACAGACAGACAAAUGGAUAGACAGAGGGAACAGUAACAGACAGACAGACAGAUAGACAGAGGGAACAGUCACAGACUGACAGACAGACAAAGGGAACAGUAACAGACAGACAGUAAGACAGACGGACAAAUUAAACAGUAACAGACAGACAGACCAACAGACAGAACAUAAGGCAGAAGGAACAGUAACAGAAAGACAGACAAAUAGACAGACAGACAGACAGACAGACAGAGGGAACAGUAACAGACAAACAGAAUGACACACAGACAGACAGACAGACAGACAGACAGACAGAGGGAACAGUAACAGACAGACGGACAGACAGACAGACAGAGAAAGAGAGGGGAACAGUAUUAGACAGACAGACAGACAAAAAAAAAGGAAAACAGUAACAGACAGACGGACAAAAAAAGGAAAAAAAUGUAACAGAGAGACAGUCAGAUUGACAGAGGGAACAGCAACAGAAAGACAGACAGACAGAACGAACGAGGGAAAAGUAACAGACAGAACGAAAGACAGACAAGACAGAGGGAACAGAAGGAACAGUAACAGAAAGACAGAAAAAGUGAGGGAAAACGAACAGACAGAAUGAAAGACAGACAGACAGAAUGACAGACAAAGAGAGGAAACAGUGACAGAGAGACAAAGAGAGGGAACAGUAACAGACAGAAAGACAGCAAAGGGGAAACAGUUAAAGACAGAUAGACAAACAGACUGAGAGAGGAAACAGUAACAGAAAGACAGACAGAGAGAGGGAGCAGUAACAGACAGAAAGACAGACUAACAGAAAGAGGGGACAGUUAAAGACAGACAGACAGACAAAGGUAAAGUUAGAGACAGAUGGGGGAACAGUAACAGACAGACAGACAUAGGGAACAGUAACAGACAGAUAGACAGAGAGAAGUGUAACAGACAGACAGACAGACAGACAGAGGGAAUAGUAACAGACAAACAGAAUGACACACAGACAGAAAGAGGGAACAGUUACAGACAGAACGAGAUUGACAGAGGGAACAUUAACAGACAGAACAAAAGAACAACAGACAGACAGACAUGAAGACAGAGAGAAGGAACAGUAACAGACAGACAGACAGAGGGUACAGUAACAAACAGACAGAAAGCGGGAACAGUAACAGACAGACUGCGUAAACAGUAAAAGACCGACAGGCGGAACAGUAACUGACAGACAGAGAGAAAUAGGGAACAGUUACAGACAGACAGACAGACAGACAGACAGACAGACAGACAGAGGAAACAGUAACAAACAGACAGACAGACAGACGAAACAGUAACUGACAGACAGAGGGAACAGUAACAGACAGACAGAAGGAGCAGUAACAGACAGACAGACAGAUAAAAUAUUAACAGACAGACAGUAAGGAUGACAGACAGACAGACAGAGGGAACAGUAACAGACAGACAGACAGACAGACAGACAUAAAGAACAGUCACAGACAGAAAGACAUACAUACAGACAGCCAGACAGUAAGAAAGACAGACAGACAGGCAGAGCAAACAGUAACAGACAGACAGCGAGCCAGUUGGAACUGUAACAGACAGAGAGACAGAGAAAGGGAACACUUACAGACAGACAG
rnacentral:lncRNA from 1 species